GACGAACGCUGGCGGCGUGCUUAACACAUGCAAGUCGAACGGAAAGGCCCUGCUUUUGUGGGGUGCUCGAGUGGCGAACGGGUGAGUAACACGUGAGUAACCUGCCCUUGACUUUGGGAUAACUUCAGGAAACUGGGGCUAAUACCGGAUAGGAGCUCCUGCUGCAUGGUGGGGGUUGGAAAGCUUCGGCGGUUGGGGAUGGACUCGCGGCUUAUCAGCUUGUUGGUGGGGUAGUGGCUUACCAAGGCUUUGACGGGUAGCCGGCCUGAGAGGGUGACCGGCCACAUUGGGACUGAGAUACGGCCCAGACUCCUACGGGGGGCAGCAGUGGGGAGUAUUGCACAAUGGGCGGAAGCGUGAUGCAGCAACGCCGCGUGCGGGAUGACGGCCUUCGGGUUGUAAACCGCUUUCGCCUGUGACGAUGCGUGAGUGACGGUAAUGGGUAAAGAAGCACCGGCUAACUACGUG
rnacentral:rRNA from 1 species